GGGUAACGGGGUGUUAGGGCACGACACUGGAGAGGGAGCCUGAGAAACGGCUACCACAUCCAAGGAUGGCAGCAGGCGCGCAAAUUACCCAAUCCCGACACGGGGAGGUAGUGACAAUAAAUAACAAUACGGGGUUCUUUCGGAUUUCGUAAUUGGAAUGAGUACAAUUUAAAUCUCUUAACGAGGAACAAUUGGAGGGCAAGUCUGGUGCCAGCAGCCGCGGUAACUCCAGCUCCAAUAGCGUAUAUUAAAGUUGUUGCAGUUAAAAAGCUCGUAGUUGAAUUUCGGGAUCAUCAGGUUGGUCGUGCCUUCGGUAUGUACUUGCUUCGGUGGUCCCUCCUUCUUGAAGAACCGUAAUGACAUUAAUUUGUUGUUGCGGGGAAACAGGACUGUUACUUUGAAAAAAUUAGAGUGUUUAAAGCAGGCAAUCGCUUGAAUACAUUAGCAUGGAAUAAUGAAAUAGGACGUUCGAUCCUAUUUUGUUGGUUUCUAGGAUUGACGUAAUGAUUAAUAGGGAUAGUUGGGGGCAUUAGUAUUCAAUUGUCAGAGGUGAAAUUCUUGGAUUUAUUGAAGACUAACUACUGCGAAAGCAUUUGCCAAGGAUGUUUUCAUUAAUCAAGAACGAAAGUUAGGGGAUCGAAGACGAUCAGAUACC
rnacentral:rRNA from 1 species